rnacentral:rRNA from 1 species
UACGUAGGGUGCGAGCGUUGUCCGGAAUUAUUGGGCGUAAAGGGCUCGUAGGCGGUUUGUCGCGUCGGGAGUGAAAACCUCGGGCUUAACUCGGGGCUUGCUUUCGAUACGGGCAGACUGGAGGUAUGCAGGGGAGAACGGAAUUCCUGGUGUAGCGGUGAAAUGCGCAGAUAUCAGGAAGAACACCCGUGGCGAAGGCGGUUCUCUGGAACGCAACUGACGCUGAGACGCGAAAGCGUGGGGAGCAAACAGG